GAGUAUUUCAGAUGCACAAAUUUUAUCUCUAUUCUCACAGCUUUAUCUAUUGCAUGCAGACUUUUAAGUUAAGACACUCAGCACCUCAAGCACUGGACCAUGGUUGUUAAGCUCAAGAAAGAGAAGAAAUUCUGUUUAUCAGUGGGGAGACUGCAAUGACU
rnacentral:lncRNA from 1 species